AGUCGACGGAGUCUUUGCGGAAGUUUACUUUUGUGAAGACUUAGUGGCGGACGGGUGAGUAACACGUGGGUAAUCUGCCUGAGAGACUGGGACAACAGGGGGAAACCGCUGCUAAUACCAGAUAAGCUCACGGGGACGGGAGUUCCUGGGAGAAAAGGAGAAAUCCGCUUUCAGAUGAGCCCGCGGCUGAUUAGCCAGUUGGUGGGGUAACGGCCUACCAAAGCGACGAUCAGUAGCCGGCCUGAGAGGGUGUACGGCCACACUGGAACUGAGACACGGUCCAGACUCCUACGGGAGGCAGCAGUGGGGAAUUUUCCGCAAUGGGCGAAAGCCUGACGGAGCAAUGCCGCGUGAGUGAGGAAGGCCUUCGGGUUGUAAAACUCUGUCUUCGGGGACGAAUAAAUGACGGUACCCGAGGAGGAAGCCACGGCUAACUACGUGCCAGCGGCCGCGGUAAUACGUAGGUGGCGAGCGUUGUCCGGAAUGACUGGGCGUAAAGGGCGUGUAGGUGGACUGAUCAGUCGGAUGUGAAAGCCCCAGGCUUAACCUGGGAACCGCAUCCGAUACGGUCAGUCUUGAGUGCGGGAGAGGGCAGUGGAAUUCCCAGUGUAGCGGUGAAAUGCGUAGAGAUUGGGAGGAACACCAGUGGCGAAGGCGGCUGCCUGGACCGUAACUGACACUGAGGCGCGAAAGCGUGGGGAGCAAACAGGAUUAGAUACCCUGGUAGUCCACGCCGUANACGAUGGGUACUAGGNGUAGGAGGUGUCGACCCCUUCUGUGCCGGAGUUAACACAAUAAGUACCC
rnacentral:rRNA from 1 species